rnacentral:rRNA from 1 species
UACGAAGGGGGCUAGCGUUGCUCGGAAUUACUGGGCGUAAAGGGCGCGUAGGCGGGUCGUUAAGUCAGAGGUGAAAGCCCAGGGCUCAACCCUGGAAUUGCCUUUGAUACUGGCGACCUUGAGUAUGGCAGAGGUGUGUGGAACUCCGAGUGUAGAGGUGAAAUUCGUAGAUAUUCGGAAGAACACCAGUGGCGAAGGCGACACACUGGGCCAUUACUGACGCUGAUGCGCGAAAGCGUGGGGAG